rnacentral:rRNA from 1 species
GCUCAGGACGAACGCUGGCGGCGUGCUUAACACAUGCAAGUCGAGCGGUAAGGCACUUCGGUGUACACGAGCGGCGAACGGGUGAGUAACACGUGAGUAAUCUGCCCUUCACUCUGGGAUAAGCACUCGAAAGGGUGUCUAAUACCGGAUACGACGCACUCACGCAUGUGAUGUGUGUGGAAACUUUUGUGGGUGGGGGAUGUGCUCGCGGCCUAUCAGCUUGUUGGUGGGGUAAUGGCCUACCAAGGCUUCGACGGGUAGCCGGCCUGAGAGGGUGACCGGCCACACUGGGACUGAGACACGGCCCAGACUCCUACGGGAGGCAGCAGUGGGGAAUAUUGGACAAUGGGCGGAAGCCUGAUCCAGCAACGCCGCGUGAGGGAUGACGGCCUUCGGGUUGUAAACCUCUUUCAGUAUCGACGAAGCGCCCGUGUGGGUGGU